AAUCCCGUCACUCUACGUCAGUUCGUUUCACCAUAUCCGUUGGAUGCUUCUUCAUCGGACAUCAUCACCAUUCGUCCUCUCCGCUAGACUUCACCCCCAAAAAAAAAUACCGCUUUUCUUCGUCGUCGGGAACAUUCUAGGCUCCGCACGAAGAGUCGUCUGGGGAAAAAAUUCCGAUCCCCACGACAGCAACACUGGUUCUCCGUUCUCCCUCCUCGUGCGCUCCGCAAUGACUCCCGGAUCCUCCCUCUUGUGCGCUCCGCAGAGUUGAUAUUGAGAUAAUGUCGUCGAGCAACCACAAUCAGGGCGAUAAUGUCAAUGAAUCGCAGUCACAACAAGGUUCUAUACCAUCUGUUAAUGGUUCCGAAGCAAUAGGAGGAAAUGAGGAAGUGGAAGAGAUUGAAGUAUCUAAUGAUGAAGACUAGAAUGGUGGUGUUGGUUCAAAGAGAAAGUUGACUUCAACUAUUUGGAAUGAAUUCAAAAGGGUUAAAGUUGGGGAUAAAAUUGAAGCAAAGUGCAAUUGGUGUGCAAAAAAGCUUGGAGGAGAGACAAAAAAAUGAAACCAAACAUCUUCAUGAUCAUCUCAAGAUAUGCCCAUAGCGUAAGAGUAAAAUGGCCUGGCAAAACAAGACAUUUAGCCAAAGCUCAUUAAGGUUUGGUUCCCAUGAUAAAGGAAAAACCUCAGUGGAAAACAAUACAUUUGAGAUAGGGAAGAGGGAGGGGGGAGGCGCGGGCGGCUUGCGCCGAGGUAGACGGAAUCGGGUAGAUAGAGCAAGGUUAUGUUGGUUUAGCUUUUUAUCAUUUACCAAAAACCUUUUUAUAAUUUCAGAUAUGUAAAUAUAAAUAUAGAUAUAUUCUGAAAAUUAAUAUAAAUACAAUAUUAUUAUUCA